rnacentral:rRNA from 1 species
AUGCGGCUGUACGUGUGCGUGCUCGAGGCCCGCGACCUCCCGGCGCCGCUGGACGGGGGCGGCGAAGGAUUUUACGCGAGGGUGAAGGUGGGGAGGCAGCGGGCGCGGACGCGGGCGGUGGAGCUGGCGGGCCCGGGCGGCGCGGCGGCGUGGAACGAGGAGUUCGCGUUCGCGGUGAGGGAGGAGGUGGUCGAGGUCCAGGUGGCGCGGCGCCGGGAGGAGGGGGCCAGGAGGGAGGUGCUGGGCAGGGACAAGCUGCCGCUGCCGCCCGCGCAGGCCGCCUCCGCCGCCAGCGGGAGGCACUCGGUGCCGCCCACCUGGUUCACGCUGCACCCCAAGCACCGCCGGAAGGGCCGCGCCGCCGAUGCCGCGGACUGCGUGGCACGGCUAGGUCGCGACGGAGUUAGGGAUGGACGAACGGGCGACGGCGGCGGCGUUUUCGGGCACAAAUCGCUAGCGGCGGAGGCAGGCAGUCAUCAGCGUAGCGGACUCAAAUCGGCGGGUCGUCGGCGGCUACAACUGCGCGGCCGGUGGCGGGGUCGGGUAUGGGCCGACGGGCGACGGCGGCGCGUUUCAGGGCAACAACCACGGACGGGCGAACUGACGGAAGUGAAAUGA